UAGGGAAUCUUCCGCAAUGGGCGAAAGCUUGACGGAGCAACGCCGCGUGAGUGAUGAAGGUCUUCGGAUCGUAAAACUCUGUUAUUAGGGAAGAACAAAUGUGUAAGUAACUAUGCACGUCUUGACGGUACCUAAUCAGAAAGCCACGGCUAACUACGUGCCAGCAGCCGCGGUAAUACGUAGGUGGCAAGCGUUAUCCGGAAUUAUUGGGCGUAAAGCGCGCGUAGGCGGUUUUUUAAGUCUGAUGUGAAAGCCCACGGCUCAACCGUGGAGGGUCAUUGGAAACUGGAAAACUUGAGUGCAGAAGAGGAAAGUGGAAUUCCAUGUGUAGCGGUGAAAUGCGCAGAGAUAUGGAGGAACACCAGUGGCGAAGGCGACUUUCUGGUCUGUAACUGACGCUGAUGUGCGAAAGCGGGGGGAGCAAACAGG
rnacentral:rRNA from 1 species